rnacentral:rRNA from 1 species
GACAGAGGGUGCAAACGUUUGUUCGGAAUUACUGGGCGUAAAGCGCGUGUAGGCGGCUAAGUAAGUCGGGCGUGAAAUCCCACGGCUCAACCGUGGAAGUGCACUCGAAACUGCAUAGCUAGAGUCCUGGAGAGGAAGGUGGAAUGCUUGGUGUAGAGGUGAAAUUCGUAGAUAUCAAGCGGAACACCGGUGGCGAAGGCGGCCUUCUGGACAGUGACUGACGCUGAGACGCGAAAAGCGGUGGGG